AUGAAGAACGUAGCGAAAUGCGAUAAGUAAUGUGAAUUGCAGAAUUCAGUGAAUCAUCGAAUCUUUGAACGCACCUUGCACUCCUUGGUAUUCCGAGGAGUACGCCUGUUCGAGUGUUAUGAAGCUCUCAAAACGCAAUUGGCUUAAAACCUGAUUGUUGUUUUGGAUUUGAACUUUGCCGUGUUAUAACGGCUGGUUUAAAAGUAUUAGCUGGUACUAGAACGAAUUGGUUCUACUCAACGUGAUAAUUAUCUGAUCGUUGAGGACAUUCCUUUCACGAGGAAUGGCCAUAGUAAAUUCAAUGGACUGCUUCUAAUCUGGCUUUAAUUCUUUAUUGGAUUAACCACUUUUCAAAUCUGACCUCGAAUCAGGUGGGACUACCCGCUGAACUUAAGCAUAUCAAUAAGCGGAGGA
rnacentral:misc_RNA from 1 species